rfam:Cyphomyrmex costatus contig10135, whole genome shotgun sequence.
CAAACGGCCCUUUUCAGGGCCACCACAAAAUACCUAAGUCCAACUA